GCUUCUUUACCUUUUUGCACUACACCUUCACUAUGUUGAUUUACACAACAUUUUUGAUUUGUCUUACAUAUACUGACUUUAUGAAUAGUUUAGUUAAUAAAUAUACUUUUGUUUAAAAUAUACUUCGGUGUGGUCUCCCCUUUAUGUCGUGUUCACUGUGAGCCAAGUGGCUACGACAUAUGGGGGCUCGUCCGACGGUUUUGAACCGAUUUUGAAUUUUGGAAGGCGCCAGGAUUGCUGGAUAGUGAGAUAUGAAGGAGACUGGGGGUGAGAGUGAUCAAUCUAGGUGAAAGUGGUGUUUCACGGGAGGAGCUAUGGGGUUGUACCAAGGUGGCUAAUUGAUGGCCUAAUUGGAGGCUGGAUAAAAUCAGUGCUCUCCAGCUGGCUGGGGCUGGAGGACUGCAUUCGCGAGCAGACUCUCAGCAGGGCUGUUGGCAGCCCUGCUUCUUUACCUUUUUGCACUAC
ensembl:lncRNA